rnacentral:rRNA from 1 species
UACGGAGGAUGCAAGCGUUAUCCGGAAUUAUUGGGCGUAAAGCGUCCGUAGGUGGCUUUACAAGUCAGCUGUUAAAGCGUGGAGCUUAACUCCAUAAAGGCAGUUGAAACUGUGAGGCUAGAGUGCGGUAGGGGUAAGGGGAAUUCCUAGUGUAGCGGUGAAAUGCGUAGAUAUUGGGAAGAACACCGGUGGCGAAAGCGCCUUGCUGGACCUGCACUGACACUGAGGGACGAAAGCUAGGGGAGCGAAAGGG